rnacentral:piRNA from 1 species
AAAGUAGAGGUAGGACAUCACAU